rnacentral:rRNA from 1 species
GAUGAACGCUAGCGGCAGGCUUAACACAUGCAAGUCGAGGGGCAGCGCGAUGUAGCAAUACAUUGGCGGCGACCGGCGCACGGGUGCGUAACACGUAUGCAACCUUCCCGCCACUGGGGGAUAGCCCGGAGAAAUCCGGAUCAAUACCCCAUAAUUCCCUGGGAGGCAUCUCCUGGGGCUGAAAACUCCGGUGGUGGCGGAUGGGCAUGCGCACGAUUAGCUAGUUGGUGAGGUAACGGCUCACCAAGGCUACGAUCGUUAGGGGGCCUGAGAGGGUUAUCCCCACACUGGUACUGAGACACGGACCAGACUCCUACGGGAGGCAGCAGUGAGGAAUAUUGCG